GUCAGCAGCUAUAUCACCCAGCAACCCAGAACUGGCAACCCACUGAGGCUGAGCAGGUGUGAGCCAGGCCAGUACCAGGAUGGGAGACGUCCUGGGAAAAUCCAGGUUGCUGCUGGAA
rnacentral:rRNA from 1 species